GACAGAGGUGCCAAGCGUUAGGCGGAAUCACUGGGCUUAAAGCGUGUGUAGGCGGAUUUGUAAGUACCUUGUGAAAUCCCACGGCUUAACCGUGGAACUGCUCGGUAUACUGCGAAUCUUGGGUCAUCUAGGGGCGAGCGGAACAAGUGGUGGAGCGGUGAAAUGCGUAGAUAUCACUUGGAACGCCAAUGGUGAAAACAGCUCGCUGGGGAUGUACCGACGCUGAGACACGAAAGCCAGGGGAGCGAACGGG
rnacentral:rRNA from 1 species